rnacentral:tRNA from 1 species
GGUUGUUGGCUAGAGCGCUCGCCUCACACGCGAGAGGUCACUGGUUCGAGUCCAGUACGGUCCA